GUUCAGUUUAACUUUAUUUCAUAAAUUUUAAAAUUAAAAUCAAUGGAUUUCAUGGAUUUGAAAAAAUUGGUUUUCUUUACAACAGAUGGUGCAUUUGCUAUGAUUGGGAGUAAAUUAGGAUUUGUUUCCCUUCUAAAAAAAGCAGGAUAGUGUGCUAACUAAUCUGCCUUCUUUCCAUUGCAUCUUGCAUGAGGAAAACUUGUGUGCAACAAUCGCUGGCAAUAAUACACUACAAAUUAUGAUGAAUACAGUGGUAAAGAUUAUCAAUUAUAAACAAAGUGGUAGUUCUCUCAUUCACCGACAGUUUGUUAAAGCUUUGAAGGAAUGUGGUGGUUAUGAUUUUGAAGAUCUUACUGACUUUACAAAUACACAAUGGCUGAACAGAGGGAAGGUAUUUGAAAAAUUUAUUAAUUUGAGGUAUAAAUUUUUGGACAUUGAAAAGCCUUCCUGGAUGUGCAGUUUACUUUUCUAUAUGAUAUCAUGUCACAUUUAAAUUUAAAACUCCAAGAAAAAGAAAAAUUAAUAGGUGAGCAGGCACAGAAUAUUCAAAAAUUUAUAUUAAAAUUCAAUCUUUUUCUGCUAUAAAUGCAGAGAGAUGAUUUAAUCCAUUUUGUAAAGUUAAGUAGGUUUUUCAAAACAAACAAGAAC
rnacentral:lncRNA from 1 species